CUUCAAACCCAAUUACACCCCUAACCCCUAUAACUACUUAACCCUUAGGAUUCUGUAUUAUUGGUUUUAGGUUGGGGCGACCACGGAGUACAACAAAACCUCCACAAUGAACGGAACUACUUCCUCAUCUGAGAGCUACAUCUCUAAGAAUUAAAAUAUUAACAUAAAAUGAUCCAUUUUUGAUCAAUGAACCAAGUUACCCUGGGGAUAACAGCGCAAUCCAUUUCAAGAGCCCCUAUCGACAAA
rnacentral:rRNA from 1 species